UUGCCAUGCCUUCUCCUGGCAUGGAGAACCAAGUAACUUCCAUUAGAAUGCCUGGACUUUUGUUUCCAAAUCAUAGCUGUAGAACCACAGUUCAUCUCCGCUUAUGACCUUCUUGAGAAAACCUGGUUCGUUGGUAGUGGUUUGAAUCAAGUUGUUCAUUUUCAAU